AUGGGCGGGGUGUGCAGGCGCCCUGGCCUCAGCCCAGGGUGUUUGUGGAGCCUUGUGCGCAUGUCUGCAUCACUGGCUCCGCUUCCUCUCCUCCCGCCCCGCCACAAGCCAGCGGAGGAAGAGGAAGGCAUGGGUGACACAAAACGGCCAGGGCUUCCUCGAUGGCACAGCCUCUUCUGCAAAGGUGUGUGUGCUGCAGCUGCGUUCAGAAGGCAGGAUGCUCCAGCCAAGGAAGGAAGUCUCGUCUCUGGUUUAAAUUUUCCAGUGCAGCCUGCUUCAGAAAUAAAUCAAAAAAAAAAGAUGCCCUUCCCUCAUCUGCUGCAGACAGCUCCCAAACACUCCAGCCCCAUGAGAUCUGAGCUGAGCUCUGGGUGAGACGAAUAUAGACCAGCAUGGUCCAACUCCCCGGCAUUAGCAGACAGGGCAGCUGCUGGGCAGCUGAGAGCUGACGUGCCAGGGAAAAUGAAGCCCAGUGACAAGAUGGAUGGGCAUCCGUGGCUGCUGUUUCAUGCCUAAUUAACAAGAGGAAAGGCCAACAAUGGAGACUGUAAAUUGUCCUUGGAAAACAACCCAGGGAGUGGCUCCCCCUUUGUCCCCAGGCUAGGACCCCCGCCCCUUUCCUGGGCCCGCUGGGGCCGGCCCCUCAGCGCUCCCUCCUUGGCUCUCCUGCUUGUGCCGGCCCCCACUUCCUCUGCAUUUCCUUUCUCCAGCCAGGCCUUACCACUUUCCUGUUUUCCUGGUCAUGAAGGAUUCCAGCCGAGGAAGAGAAACGGUACACGAAGCUUUUUGUCUUCACCCGCUAACUCACAAUCACAAGGAAAAGAACUACUCUAGGUGUCUCAACAAUGAGAUGCGCUGAACCCACCACUCAUCCCAGAGCUUGUCCAGGGAAAGUCCAGAUGCCCCGGGGUGGGGGGUGCCCCCAUGGUCCCCCACACACCCUGUCCCCGGGGCAAAGUCCGGGGUCACCCCAAACACAAGCUUUAGUCACUUUUCAUGUGGUGACAGCUUAAUAGCUUCCAGCCUCAGAUAUUAAAAUGAAACUGCAAAAAUAUAAUAAAUAAAACAUCAUUUUCAUUUAUUUCAGAUUCCAUUUCUUCUUUAAAACAUACAUAGUGCCAAAGGCAAACUUUGGGCGCUCAUGCCGUUCUUGUCCUUGAUUUUUGGACACCACUGCUGUGUACCGUCCACAAAUGUUGGCACCACUGCCAAGUAACUCUUCUAGAAUUGCUUCCCUGCCUGGCAGAGAAUUACAACAGCUGAUUUCAAACCCA
rnacentral:lncRNA from 1 species